ACUGGACGAUGGGGACUCCUUAAUUCAGUCGGAACUGACUAAGGGUCUUGUCCCUUAUGAGGGGUAGUCCUUGGGUAGGACUUACAGGGCAGGCCUAUGACCCUACCCUAGGACUAUAACCCCAUCAAGUAUAUAGGAAAGUCAAUACUAUUAAAAGGGGAUGAGGUAUCUAUGAUGAUAUGGUUGCUCAAGUGCUUAGAGAUUAGCCACCAAAAACCCUCAAGAAUUCUCCCACAAUAUAUUCUGUCAAAUUCCUAAAAGUCAAAUUCGGUGUCACCAACAUUUCCAAAUCGACCAUACCGAGUUUUCCUUAGACAAAGAUCCCAGAGCAAAACCCUAGCAACUUGGUGCUACCAAGUUCCAUCUCGGUACAACUGAAAUCCAGUGACCAACUCUCUGGUAUCUAAUUGACAAAAAUUGAAAUUUCCGAGUUUUUCAAUUCGGAGCCACCGAGUUAGUGAAACUGCCUAGGCCAACAGAAUCGGUCUCACCGAGAUGCUUUGUAUUGGUCUCACCAAGAUGCUUUGUAUUGGUCUCACCAAGAACCCAAAAGUAAAGCAUUUUGCACUAGUCGGUGGAACCGAGUUUUUACUUCGGUUCCACCGAGUUGGUCAAUAAUGUUGUACCGGUUGGCUUUUGGAGAUGACUAUAUAUACCCCUCCACCUCCCUCUCAUUCGUAGUGAGAGCACUCAGAAUAAGCAAACACUUAACGCCAUUCAUUUUCUGAGAGAAAACCACCUACUCAUGUGUUGAGAACAAGAUCUUCCACUCCAACCAUAUGAAUCUUGAUUUCUAGUCUUCCCAGGUUGCUUUCCACCCAAUCAAUCUCUUCUACCAAGUCAAAUCCUGUGAGAGAGUGAUUGAGUGUUGAGGAGACAAUCCUUUCAAGCACAAGAGCAAGGAGUUCAUCAUCCAUACCACAUCUAUUACCUUUUGAAGAGUGGUGUCUCCUAGAUUGGUUAGGUGUCUCUUGGGAGCCUCCUACUUCGUGUUGUGGAGUUGAAUCAAGAAGUUUGUAAGGGCAAGGAGAUCACCUACUUCGUGAAGAUUUACUCCGAGUGAGGCUAGUUCUUCGUGAAUGUAAGCCAUGGUGAAAUAGACCAGAUUGCUUCUUCGUGGACCUCUGGUGGGUGGAGCCCUCCGUGGACUCACACAGCCGUUACCCUCCGCGGGUUGAAGUCUUCAUCAACGUGGCAAAGCUUCAAGCUCCAAGACUAUACUUUAUAUUUAUGUGAGAAAUCACACUUGAGUAUAUAGGAAAGUCAAUACUAUUAAAAGGGGAUGAGGUAUCUAUGAUGAUAUGGUUGCUCAAGUGCUUAGAGAUUAGCCACCAAAAACCCUCAAGAAUUCUCCCAUAAUAUAUUCUGCCAAAUUCCUAAAAGUCAAAUU
rnacentral:lncRNA from 1 species